rfam:Nasonia vitripennis chromosome 4 unlocalized genomic scaffold Chr4_random025, whole genome shotgun sequence.
GUAGACGUUAGCUCAGUGGUUAGAGAACAGGCCUCUGGCUCUCGGGUCCGCGAGUUCGAGUCCCGUCGUCUACU